UGGGGAAUAUUGGACAAUGGGCUAAAGCCUGAUCCAGCCAUGCCGCGUGUGUGAAGAAGGUCUUCGGAUUGUAAAGCACUUUAAGUUGGGAGGAAGGGCAGUAAGCGAAUACCUUGCUGUUUAGACGUUACCGACAGAAUAAGCACCGGCUAACUCUGUGCCAGCAGCCGCGGUAAUACAGAGGGUGCAAGCGUUAAUCGGAAUUACUGGGCGUAAAGCGCGCGUAGGUGGUUCGUUAAGUUGAAUGUGAAAGCCCCGGGCUCAACCUGGGAACUGCAUCCAAAACUGGCGAGCUAGAGUAGGGCAGAGGGUGGUGGAAUUUCCUGUGUAGCGGUGAAAUGCGUAGAUAUAGGAAGGAACACCAGUGGCGAAGGCGACCACCUGGGCUCAUACUGACACUGAGGUGCGAAAGCGUGGGGAGCAAACAGG
rnacentral:rRNA from 1 species